CAGGUAAAGAAGUCUGUGGAGAAAGCUUCAUCUGGAAAGAGCUCUGCUUUCUCACUCAUCCUCCAUGUUCUACAGCCUAUGGAUUUAACCACCAUCCUGUCAUUACAACAUCUUCAUAUCAAGGAUGCAGUUCAUUUCCAUUGCCUGUGUACCCAGUCCUGGCUACAAGCUGUGUUCCUGUACCCAACCUCAUACAAAUUCAAACUAUGGGCAAUGUGAUUGGCUCCCCAUCAACAAUGAAAGUGAAGAUUAGAACCUACUGGUUAUACCAUAUAUGCGUGGAAGGGACCAGGCCUCUUCAACUGGCUGAGGUUGGCAAAGGAAGAAAGCUGACUGGAGAAUCACUAAGCACUCUGCAGAUCUCCUCCACAGCUCAGACUUUCCCCGAUACCCUCUGGGAACCUGGCGAGGGAACCACUCUGCUUAUAGAUGUUUAAGUCAUUCUUGUGGAUGUGCCCAGAGUCCACAAAGAGAUUGGCGGCAUCUGACACAAGCAACAGCAAAGUUAACUCAGAGGUCAUUGUGUCUGCUGCCUCUGGCAGGAAUUUCUUAGGG
rnacentral:lncRNA from 1 species